AGUAAUGAUUGAAAGCCCAAUAAUAAAAUAAAAAAGCCCAUAUAAACGGGCCUAGUUUUCUUAAUCACCGCCUCAGAUACUUCUCCGUCUCCUGAUCUCGUCGGAGCUUCACCUCUCCGUUGAAAAUCGUUGCUUUCCGGUUUCAAACAGAGAAAGAUGUUCAGCCUAAGAUCUACCGGAUGAAGCUAUGGCCAAGUCCAAGUUUUGGUGAGUCAAUGCAAUGAUGAUACUUAUUGGGCCCUACGAAGUUCAAGAACUACGGUAUCUGGCUGCGUUACCAGAGCCGAACUGGGUACCACAACAUGUACAAGGAGUUCCGUGACACCACGCUCAACGGUGCAGUGGAGCAGAUGUGUACACUGAGAUGGCUUCUCGCCAUAGAGUGAGGCUCCCUUGCAUUCAGAUCAUCAAGACCGCCACUGUCCCUGCAAGUCUCUGCAAUAGAGAGAGCACCAAGCAGUUCCAUAACUCCAAGAUCAAGUUCCCUCUUGUUUUGAGGAAGGUCAGGCCACCGACAAGGAAGCUCAAGACUACAUACAAGGCUCCAAAGCCCAACCUUUCAUGUAAAACCAGUCUUUACAUGAUUCUCUACUCAUCCUUGUCAACCAGAGAUCAGAUUAGUGUUCUUGUUCCCCAGUCUCUUUAAAUUUUUGAAGUUUAGCAUUUUUAGAAACUUUCGCUAUCUAGAUAUGAUAUGAAUAUUUAAAGUUUGGCUGCUUCAGGGAAGUGUUUUACUGUAACUUGCACCUAACUCAUAUCGGAUAUUAUUUAUUAUAUGCAUUCUCA